CGCCAAGUCCGAGGCCUCGAUGCCCAUCGAGGUCGGGUGCAAGAGGGA
rnacentral:sRNA from 23 species